GACGAACGCUGGCGGCGUGCUUAACACAUGCAAGUCGAGCGGAAAGGCCCUUCGGGGUACUCGAGCGGCGAACGGGUGAGUAACACGUGAGUAACCUGCCCUAGGCUUUGGGAUAACCCUCGGAAACGGGGGAUAAUACCGAAUAUUCAUGCUGGACGGCAUCGUUUGGUGUGGAAAGUUUUUCGGCUUGGGAUGGGCUCGCGGCCUAUCAGCUUGUUGGUGGGGUGAUGGCCUACCAAGGCGACGACGGGUAGCCGGCCUGAGAGGGCGACCGGCCACACUGGGACUGAGACACGGCCCAGACUCCUACGGGAGGCAGCAGUGGGGAAUAUUGCACAAUGGGCGGAAGCCUGAUGCAGCGACGCCGCGUGAGGGAUGAAGGCCUUCGGGUUGUAAACCUCUUUCAGCAGGGACGAAGCGCAAGUGACGGUACCUGCAGAAGA
rnacentral:rRNA from 1 species